rnacentral:lncRNA from 1 species
AACGGAGGCAGUGGCACCGGACUUGCACACCCAGCGGCGGAGCAACAGCGGCCCACGGUGUCGGUCUCCGUCGCACGGCAGCGUCCUCGGCACGAACUACGGCGGCGAUGCAGCCUUCAGCAUGGCGUGCUUGCCCUCACGGCAACCGAGGCGAACAAGACAACCCCGGCGUGCCCUCUGCCAUGCCGCGGCUCUCAGUCGGCACGCAGCCUGGUCCUGGCAAUCGGCCGGCUCUAGCACACCAUCCAUGGAAAAGACGAACAUGCAUCUACGAUGCAUGCAUACAAGAAAUCCAUCGAGAGAGAGCCAACUUGAUUGUCUAUUUAUGAUUAGCAUCACUGAUUCAUUGACCGAUUGUAUUUUCCCUGAAUCAGCAAGCAUUCCAAAUAGAGAAAAAAGAGAACGGUGAUGUGUAAUCCCAUCAGCGGCAACCGCUUCAACAAUGGCGAGAAGAACGCGACUUUUAGGAUCGAAGCGGCGCUCUUUGUGCACGACGCAGUGGCGCCCUCCAAUGGAACCUUCUGCAUACGGCUCCCCACCGGUCCGGUGACUCCCAGCGCGCGACGGCUCCCGACCCUGCGCGGCUUCGCCCUCCCGAGCGCUCGUAGCGCUGCUACCGGCCGUCGGCUGCAGGACGCAGCACCGAACGCUCAAAGCAAUUCCGCGUCUGAUAAAAAGAGAAAUAAAUCAAGAAUUUACUCAUCUUAUCAUCCCGUAAUCAAUCAAUUGAUCAUUUUCUAUGUACAUGUAUGCACUCAUGCGAAUUGCUUUGUACCAGAAAAAGGCACGCUUCUUCCGAGAGGCGAGAACGACAUCACUCCGAACAGAAAAUCUGCAAACAUAGAGAUCAAGGCAAGAUGAGAGGAAGUGUUGAGACAAGAAGAUGAAAAUUAAUAUCCAAAACUGCAUCUUCUCUGCGCGAGGCAGAGGCCAAUCCAAACUCUGCAGCCCGAUGCGGCCGGCGCUGCCUCCAGAUGCGGCGAUCUCAGCCAUCCGGCGUGGUCCUCAGAGCCAGCACGAACGCGGCCUCAAGCGCCCGAGGCCAUCCGGCUAAGCGCUCUUCGGCGGUCGCGGCCACAAUGCCCUCCAGCAACGCGACGUCCACGGCCUUCGGCCCGGCGGCGGUUCGCACCUCCCGGCGUCCAGCACGCCAUGGCGUCCUUCUCAAAGCGACGGGAGAAAUUGGGGAAUCUUAUCCCUCUGGCCAUUUUUCAACCAUAGGUUAUUUCCAAAUGGCAUAAAAAUAUAAUUACGCACUAUUUACAUCUCGUAAAAUAUCAUUUGAAGCCUCGUGUCUUCAUAUAUUACAUAAAAAUGUAAAUUAUUAAGUUUUGCAUGGGAUAUUGCCUUUUGCUCCUACGUGCAUAUGCACCCAUUGUCGAAAUACACAUUUCGAAAAGUGGAAAAAUUCGGAACAAAAAUCCCG